rnacentral:rRNA from 1 species
ACGAACGCUGGCGGCGUGCCUAAUACAUGCAAGUAGAACGCUGAAGGAGGAGCUUGCUUCUCUGGAUGAGUUGCGAACGGGUGAGUAACGCGUAGGUAACCUGCCUGGUAGCGGGGGAUAACUAUUGGAAACGAUAGCUAAUACCGCAUAAGAGUAGAUGUCGCAUGACAUUUGCUUAAAAGGUGCAAUUGCAUCACUACCAGAUGGACCUACGUUGUAUUAGCUAGUUGGUGAGGUAACGGCUCACCAAGGCAACGAUACAUAGCCGACCUGAGAGGGUGAUCGGCCACACUGGGACUGAGACACGGCCCAGACUCCUACGGGAGGCAGCAGUAGGGAAUCUUCGGCAAUGGACGGAAGUCUGACCGAGCAACGCCGCGUGAGUGAAGAAGGUUUUCGGAUCGUAAAGCUCUGUUGUAAGAGAAGAACGAGUGUGAGAGUGGAAAGUUCACACUGUGACGGUAUCUUACCAGAAAGAGACGGCUAACUACGUG